UUGCUCCUUUGACGUUAGCGGCGGACGGGUGAGUAACACGUGGGUAACCUACCUAUAAGACUGGGAUAACUUCGGGAAACCGGAGCUAAUACCGGAUAACAUUUGGAACCGCAUGGUUCUAAAGUGAAAGAUGGUUUUGCUAUCACUUAUAGAUGGACCCGCGCCGUAUUAGCUAGUUGGUAAGGUAACGGCUUACCAAGGCGACGAUACGUAGCCGACCUGAGAGGGUGAUCGGCCACACUGGAACUGAGACACGGUCCAGACUCCUACGGGAGGCAGCAGUAGGGAAUCUUCCGCAAUGGGCGAAAGCCUGACGGAGCAACGCCGCGUGAGUGAUGAAGGGUUUCGGCUCGUAAAACUCUGUUAUUAGGGAAGAACAAACGUGUAAGUAACUGUGCACGUCUUGACGGUACCUAAUCAGAAAGCCACGGCUAACUACGUGCCAGCAGCCGCGGUAAUACGUAGGUGGCAAGCGUUAUCCGGAAUUAUUGGGCGUAAAGCGCGCGUAGGCGGUUUCUUAAGUCUGAUGUGAAAGCCCACGGCUCAACCGUGGAGGGUCAUUGGAAACUGGGAAACUUGAGUGCAGAAGAGGAAAGUGGAAUUCCAUGUGUAGCGGUGAAAUGCGCAGAGAUAUGGAGGAACACCAGUGGCGAAGGCGACUUUCUGGUCUGUAACUGACGCUGAUGUGCGAAAGCGUGGGGAUCAAACAGGAUUAGAUACCCUGGUAGUCCACGCCGUAAACGAUGAGUGCUAAGUGUUAGGGGGUUUCCGCCCCUUAGUGCUGCAGCUAACGCAUUAAGCACUCCGCCUGGGGAGUACGACCGCAAGGUUGAAACUCAAAGGAAUUGACGGGGACCCGCACAAGCGGUGGAGCAUGUGGUUUAAUUCGAAGCAACGCGAAGAACCUUACCAAAUCUUGACAUCCUUUGAAAACUCUAGAGAUAGAGCCUUCCCCUUCGGGGGACAAAGUGACAGGUGGUGCAUGGUUGUCGUCAGCUCGUGUCGUGAGAUGUUGGGUUAAGUCCCGCAACGAGCGCAACCCUUAAGCUUAGUUGCCAUCAUUAAGUUGGGCACUCUAGGUUGACUGCCGGUGACAAACCGGAGGAAGGUGGGGAUGACGUCAAAUCAUCAUGCCCCUUAUGAUUUGGGCUACACACGUGCUACAAUGGACAAUACAAAGGGCAGCUAAACCGCGAGGUCAUGCAAAUCCCAUAAAGUUGUUCUCAGUUCGGAUUGUAGUCUGCAACUCGACUACAUGAAGCUGGAAUCGCUAGUAAUCGUAGAUCAGCAUGCUACGGUGAAUACGUUCCCGGGUCUUGUACACACCGCCCGUCACACC
rnacentral:rRNA from 1 species